GACGAACGCUGGCGGCGUGCCUAAUACAUGCAAGUAGAACGCACAGUUUAUACCGUAGCUUGCUACACCAUAAACUGUGAGUUGCGAACGGGUGAGUAACGCGUAGGUAACCUGCCUGGUAGCGGGGGAUAACUAUUGGAAACGAUAGCUAAUACCGCAUCAUAUUAAUUAUUGCAUGAUAAUUGAUUGAAAGAUGCAAUUGCAUCACUACCAGAUGGACCUGCGUUGUAUUAGCUAGUAGGUGAGUUAACGGCUCACCUAGGCGACGAUACAUAGCCGACCUGAGAGGGUGAUCGGCAACACUGGGACUGAGACACGGCCCAGACUCCUACGGGAGGCAGCAGUAGGGAAUCUUCGGCAAUGGACGAAAGUCUGACCGAGCAACGCCGCGUGAGUGAAGAAGGUUGUCGGAUCGUAAAGCUCUGUUGUAAGAGAAGAACGGGUGUGAGAGUGGAAAGUUCACACUGUGACGGUAUCUUACCAGAAAGGGACGGCUAACUACGUG
rnacentral:rRNA from 1 species